rnacentral:rRNA from 1 species
UGAGGAAUAUUGGUCAAUGGACGAGAGUCUGAACCAGCCAAGUAGCGUGCAGGACGACGGCCCUAUGGGUUGUAAACUGCUUUUAUGUGGGAAUAAAGUGAGGGACGUGUCCCUUUUUGUAGGUACCACAUGAAUAAGGACCGGCUAAUUCCGUGCCAGCAGCCGCGGUAAUACGGAAGGUCCGGGCGUUAUCCGGAUUUAUUGGGUUUAAAGGGAGCGUAGGCCGUCUUUUAAGCGUGUUGUGAAAUGUAGACGCUCAACGUCUGCACUGCAGCGCGAACUGGUUUCCUUGAGUACGCACAAAGUGGGCGGAAUUCGUGGUGUAGCGGUGAAAUGCUUAGAUAUCACGAAGAACUCCGAUUGCGAAGGCAGCUCACUGGAGCGCAACUGACGCUGAAGCUCGAAAGUGCGGGUAUCGAACAGGAUUAGAUACCCUGGUA